UGAAUCUGCCCUCUUGGGGUCACGGAUUGCAGCCCUCCUCCAGUUUCAAUUACUCCUGACCUGGACCUUGUCCCUGGAGCUGAGGCCCUUCAUCCUGCUGAUGGCUGAUCUGAGAGGAGGACCACCAAGAGCCCACGGCUUGAUCUGUGUUAGGAUCUGUGAUGUGCACCUCACACCCAUCAUUGUGUGGAAUUCGGGGAGAUCUCUCAGGUCCCACUGCAGGGACAAACAACACAGCGGCUGUCAGAAGGAAGAUGACCUGCUUUGAAGUCACACGACACAGAACUUGGUCUAUCCGGGCCCUGUGUUCACAAAGCCGUUACGCGGAAUGAGUAAGUUAACCAUGGGAAGCCCCCAGCACAGUGCCUGAACAGGGUGGGAAGAAGGGAGGUACCAGGAGAUCCCUUCCCGGGCUGGAUGCCUGGGGACCCAACUGGCUCUGAGUCAGCAGAGUGUCUGGAAGGAUCCCUGUGUGCUCCCAGGGGCACUUGAUGUGUCCGUGUGGCUACCCUAAGUGGAGAAUCAGAGAUCCAAAAAUGUCUUUGCUGUUUCCUUGGAGUCUCUUGGAAUGGGAAGUCUGGCUUUAAGAAAUAACUAUGGAGGGGAUCCCUGGGUGGUUCAGUGGUUUGGCACCUGCCUUCGGCCCAGGGCGUGAUCCUGGAGACCCGCGAUUGAGUCUCAUAUUGGGCUCCCUGCAGGGAGCCUGCUUCUCCCUCUGCCUAUGUCUCUGCCUCUCUCUGUGUGUGUGUCUCAUGAAUAAAUAAAUAAAUCUUUAAAGAAAAAAAAAAGAA
rnacentral:lncRNA from 12 species